rnacentral:rRNA from 1 species
GUUAUAGUUUAUUUGAUAUAUUAAAUGGAUAACUGUAGAAAAACUAGAGCUAAUACAUGCCGAAGCCGCAAGGUUGUAUUUAUUAGAUAUUCCAAUUAGGUGAAUCAUGAUAACUUUUCAAAUCUCGGUUUUGCCGAGAUAAAUCAUCCAAGUUUCUGCCCUAUCAUGCUUUCGAUGGUAGUGUAUUGGACUACCAUGGCUUUCACGGGUAACAGGGAAUUAGGGUUCGAUUCUGGAGAAGGAGCCUGAGAAACGGCUACUACAUCUACGGAAGGCAGCAGGCGCGUAAAUUACCCAAUCCUGACUCAGGGAGGUGGUGACAAGAUAUAACAACGCAAUUUAAUUGUGAUUGUAGUGAGGGUUUUCCAAACCGAACCACUAGUACGAUUAGAGGGCAAGUCUGGUGCCAGCAGCCGCGGUAAUUCCAGCUCUAAUAGCGUAUAUUAAAGUUGCUGCAGUUAAAAAGCUCGUAGUUGGAUUUCAAGGAUUGUGUACUCUUCUAGGGUAUGCACCCUACUAGUCUUUGACUGUUACUGUGAGAAAAUUAGAGUGUUUAAAGCAGGCAAUUGCAAGAAUACAUUAGCAUGGAAUAACGAAUGUAUCUAGAAUCUUGGUUAAUUCUAGGUUUCGAUUAAUAGAGACAGUUGGGGGCAUUAGUAUUUAAUUGUCAGAGGUGAAAUUCUUGGAUUUGUUAAAGACUAACGUAUGCGAAAGCAUUUGCCAAGGAUGUUUUCAUUAAUCAAGAACGA